rnacentral:rRNA from 1 species
UGGGUUUUUAACUUAGGUUUGGGUGGCGGACGGGUGAGUAACGCGUAAAGAACUUGCCUCACAGCUAGGGACAACAUUUGGAAACGAAUGCUAAUACCUAAUAUUAUGAUAAUAGGGCAUCCUAUAAUUAUGAAAGCUAUAAGCGCUGUGAGAGAGCUUUGCGUCCCAUUAGCUAGUUGGAGAGGUAACAGCUCACCAAGGCGAUGAUGGGUAGCCGGCCUGAGAGGGUGAUCGGCCACAAGGGGACUGAGACACGGCCCUUACUCCUACGGGAGGCAGCAGUGGGGAAUAUUGGACAAUGGACCAGGAGUCUGAUCCAGCAAUUCUGUGUGCACGAUGAAGUUUUUCGGAAUGUAAAGUGCUUUCAGUUGGGAAGAAAAAAAUGACGGUACCAACAGAAGAAGUGACGGCUAAAUACGUGCCAGCAGCCGCGGUAAUACGUAUGUCACGAGCGUUAUCCGGAUUUAUUGGGCGUAAAGCGCGUCUAGGUGGUUAUGUAAGUCUGAUGUGAAAAUGCAGGGCUCAACUCUGUAUUGCGUUGGAAACUGUAUAACUAGAGUACUGGAGAGGUAAGCGGAACUACAAGUGUAGAGGUGAAAUUCGUAGAUAUUUGUAGGAAU